rnacentral:rRNA from 1 species
AACGAACGCUGGCGGCAUGCCUAACAUAUGCAAGUCGAACGAGACCUUCGGGUCUAGUGGCGCACGGGUGCGUAACGCGUGGGAACCUGCCCUUAGGUUCGGAAUAACUCCCCGAAAGGGGUGCUAAUACCGGAUAAUGUCUUCGGACCAAAGAUUUAUCGCCUUUGGAUGGGCCCGCGUUGGAUUAGCUAGUUGGUAGGGUAAAAGCCUACCAAGGCGACGAUCCAUAGCUGGUCUGAGAGGAUGAUCAGCCACACUGGGACUGAGACACGGCCCAGACUCCUACGGGAGGCAGCAGUGGGGAAUAUUGGAACAUGGGCGAAAUCCUGAUCCAGCAAUGCCGCGUGAGUGAUGAAGGCCUUAGGGUUGUAAAGCUCUUGUACCCGGGAUGAUAAUGACAGUACCGGGAGAAUAAGCUCCGGCUAACUCCGUG